rnacentral:rRNA from 1 species
CCCGGCUAACUCCGUGCCAGCAGCCGCGGUAAUACGGAGGGGGUUAGCGUUGUUCGGAAUUACUGGGCGUAAAGCGUACGUAGGCGGAUUAGUCAGUCAGAGGUGAAAUCCCAGGGCUCAACCCUGGAACUGCCUUUGAUACUGCUAGUCUUGAGUUCGAGAGAGGUGAGUGGAAUUCCAAGUGUAGAGGUGAAAUUCGUAGAUAUUUGGAGGAACACCAGUGGCGAAGGCGGCUCACUGGCUCGAUACUGACGCUGAGGUACGAAAGUGUGGGGAGCAAACAGGAUUAGAUACCCUGGUAGUCCACACCGUAAACGAUGAAUGCCAGUCGUCGGGCAGUAUACUGUUCGGUGACACACCUAACGGAUUAAGCAUUCCGCCUGGGGAGUACGGUCGCAAGAUUAAAACUCAAAUGAAUUGACG